rnacentral:rRNA from 1 species
UGAAGAGGCGGAGCCGCAGCGAAAGCGAGUCUGAAUAGGGCGUUUAGUACGUGGUCGUAGACCCGAAACCAGGUGAUCUACCCAUGUCCAGGGUGAAGUUCAGGUAACACUGAAUGGAGGCCCGAACCCACGCACGUUGAAAAGUGCGGGGAUGAGGUGUGGGUAGCGGAGAAAUUCCAAUCGAACCUGGAGAUAGCUGGUUCUCCCCGAAAUAGCUUUAGGGCUAGCCUUAAGUGUAAGAGUCUUGGAGGUAGAGCACUGAUUGAACUAGGGGUCCUCAUCGGAUUACCGAAUUCAGUCAAACUCCGAAUGCCAAUGACUUAUCCUUAGGAGUCAGACUGCGAGUGAUAAGAUCCGUAGUCAAGAGGGAAACAGCCCAGAUCGCCAGCUAAGGUCCCAAAGUGUGUAUUAAGUGGAAAAGGAUGUGGAGUUGCUUAGACAACUAGGAUGUUGGCUCAGAAGCAGCCACCAUUUAAAGAGUGCGUAAUAGCUCACUAGUCGAGUGACUCUGCGCCGAAAAUGUACCGGGGCUAAAUACACCACCGAAGCUGCGAAUUGAUACCAAUGGUAUCAGUGGUAGGGGAGCGUUCUAAGUGCAGUGAAGUCAGACCGGAAGGACUGGUGGAGCGCUUAGAAGUGAGAAUGCCGGUAUGAGUAGCGAAAGACGGGUGAGAAUCCCGUCCACCGAAUGCCUAAGGUUUCCUGAGGAAGGCUCGUCCGCUCAGGGUUAGUCAGGACCUAAGCCGAGGCCGACAGGCGUAGGCGAUGGACAACAGGUUGAUAUUCCUGUACCACCUCUUUAUCGUUUGAGCAAUGGAGGGACGCAGAAGGAUAGAAGAAGCGUGCGAUUGGUUGUGCACGUCCAAGCAGUUAGGCUGAUAAGUAGGCAAAUCCGCUUAUCGUGAAGGCUGAGCUGUGAUGGGGAAGCUCCUUAUGGAGCGAAGUCUUUGAUUCCCCGCUGCCAAGAAAAGCUUCUAGCGAGAUAAAAGGUGCCUGUACCGCAAACCGACACAGGUAGGCGAGGAGAGAAUCCUAAGGUGUGCGAGAGAACUCUGGUUAAGGAACUCGGCAAAAUGACCCCGUAACUUCGGGAGAAGGGGUGCUUUCUUAACGGAAAGCCGCAGUGAAUAGGCCCAAGCGACUGUUUAGCAAAAACACAGGUCUCUGCGAAGCCGUAAGGCGAAGUAUAGGGGCUGACACCUGCCCGGUGCUGGAAGGUUAAGGAGAGGGGUUAGCGUAAGCGAAGCUCUGAACUGAAGCCCCAGUAAACGGCGGCCGUAACUAUAACGGUCCUAAGGUAGCGAAAUUCCUUGUCGGGUAAGUUCCGACCCGCACGAAAGGUGUAACGAUUUGGGCACUGUCUCAACCAGAGACUCGGUGAAAUUAUAGUACCUGUGAAGAUGCAGGUUACCCGCGACAGGACGGAAAGACCCCGUGGAGCUUUACUGUAGCCUGAUAUUGAAUUUUGGUACAGUUUGUACAGGAUAGGCGGGAGCCAUUGAAACCGGAGCGCUAGCUUCGGUGGAGGCGCUGGUGGGAUACCGCCCUGACUGUAUUGAAAUUCUAACCUACGGGUCUUAUCGACCCGGGAGACAGUGUCAGGUGGGCAGUUUGACUGGGGCGGUCGCCUCCUAAAGUGUAACGGAGGCGCCCAAAGGUUCCCUCAGAAUGGUUGGAAAUCAUUCGUAGAGUGCAAAGGCAUAAGGGAGCUUGACUGCGAGACCUACAAGUCGAGCAGGGACGAAAGUCGGGCUUAGUGAUCCGGUGGUUCCGCAUGGAAGGGCCAUCGCUCAACGGAUAAAAGCUACCCCGGGGAUAACAGGCUUAUCUCCCCCAAGAGUCCACAUCGACGGGGAGGUUUGGCACCUCGAUGUCGGCUCAUCGCAUCCUGGGGCUGUAGUCGGUCCCAAGGGUUGGGCUGUUCGCCCAUUAAAGCGGUACGCGAGCUGGGUUCAGAACGUCGUGAGACAGUUCGGUCCCUAUCCGUCGUGGGCGCAGGAAAUUUGAGAGGAGCUGUCCUUAGUACGAGAGGACCGGGAUGGACGCACCGCUGGUGUACCAGUUGUUCUGCCAAGGGCAUAGCUGGGUAGCUAUGUGCGGAAGGGAUAAGUGCUGAAAGCAUCUAAGCAUGAAGCCCCCCUCAAGAUGAGAUUUCCCAUAGCGUGAGCUAGUAAGAUCCCUGAAAGAUGAUCAGGUUGAUAGGUUCGAGGUGGAAGCAUGGUGACAUGUGGAGCUGACGAAUACUAAUAGAUCGAGGACUUAACCAU